rnacentral:rRNA from 1 species
GAAUCCCGUGAACCAUCGAGUCUUUGAACGCAAGUUGCGCCCGAAGCCUUCGGGCCGAGGGCACGCCUGCCUGGGCGUCACGCAUCGCGUCGCCCCCACCCCCCGCGCCCGCGGGGAGGGGCGGAGACUGGCCUCCCGUGCGCACCCGUCGCGCGGCCGGCCC